GUGCCAGCAGCCGCGGUAAUCCCCGCAGUCCAAGUCGCAACCACAUUUGUUGGGUCUAAAACAUCCGUAGCGUGCUUCGUAAGUCUCGUGUGAAAUCUCAUUUCUCAAGAAUGAAAGUGCACAAGAUACUGCGGAGCUUGAGACCGGGAGGCGCAUCAAGUACGUCGGGAGUACCGGUAAAAUGGGUUGAUCCUUGACGGACUAACAACCGCGAAGGCAUGAUGCGAGCACGGAUCUGACCGUGAGGGAUGAAGGCUAGGGGCGCAAAGUGGAUUAGAUACCCUGGUAGUCCACGCCCUAAACGAUGACGACUGGAUGUCGGAGGGGUCUGCCUUUCGGUGUCGUAGCUAACGCGUUAAGUCGUCCGCCUGGGGAGUACGGCCGCAAGGUUGAAACUCAAAUGAAUUGACGG
rnacentral:rRNA from 1 species